GAUAAACGCUGGCGGCGCACAUAAGACAUGCAAGUCGAACGGACUUAACCGAAAUGUUUACAUUUUGGAGCGGUUAGUGGCGGACUGGUGAGUAACACGUAAGCAACCUGCCUAUCAGAGGGGAAUAACAGUGAGAAAUCACUGCUAAUACCGCAUACACUGAAAGUAUCGCAUGAUACAUUCAGGAAAGGAGCAAUCCGCUGAUAGAUGGGCUUGCGUCUGAUUAGAUAGUUGGUGGGGUAAUGGCCUACCAAGUCGACGAUCAGUAGCCGGACUGAGAGGUUGAACGGCCACAUUGGGACUGAGAUACGGCCCAG
rnacentral:rRNA from 1 species